rnacentral:rRNA from 1 species
CGGUACAUCGGUGGACAGGUGGUGCAUGGUUGUCGUCAGCUCGUGUCGUGAGAUGUUGGGUUAAGUCCCGCAACGAGCGCAACCCCUAUUGUUAGUUGCCAUCAUUCAGUUGGGCACUCUAGCGAGACUGCCGGUAAUAAACCGGAGGAAGGUGGGGAUGACGUCAAAUCAUCAUGCCCCUUAUGACCUGGGCUACACACGUGCUACAAUGGUUGGUACAACGAGUUGCGAGUCGGUGACGGCGAGCUAACCUCUUAAAGCCAAUCUCAGUUCGGAUUGUAGGCUGCAACUCGCCUACAUGAAGUCGGAAUCGCUAGUAAUCGCGGAUCAGCACGCCGCGGUCGAAUACGUUCCCGGGCCUU